CAGUCGCCGCGGGAAUACGAGGGGGGCAGGCGUUGUUCGGAAUUAUUGGGCGUAAAGGGCGCGUAGGCGGUUUGGCAAGUUUGGUGUGAAAUCUUCGGGCUCAACUCGAAGUCUGCACCGAAAACUGCCGGGCUUGAGUAUGGGAGAGGUGAGUGGAAUUUCCGGUGUAGCAGUGAAAUGCGUAGAUAUCGGAAGGAACACCUGUGGCGAAAGCGGCUCACUGGACCAUUACUGACGCUGAGGCGCGAAAGCUAGGGGAGCAAACAGGAUUAGAUACCCGUGUAGUCCCUGUCUCUUAUAC
rnacentral:rRNA from 1 species